rnacentral:rRNA from 1 species
GACGAACGCUGGCGGCGUGCUUAACACAUGCAAGUCGAACGAAGAGCGAUGGAAGCUUGCUUCUAUCAAUCUUAGUGGCGAACGGGUGAGUAACGCGUAAUCAACCUGCCCUUCAGAGGGGGACAACAGUUGGAAACGACUGCUAAUACCGCAUACGAUCUAAUCUCGGCAUCGAGGAUAGAUGAAAGGUGGCCUCUACAUGUAAGCUAUCACUGAAGGAGGGGAUUGCGUCUGAUUAGCUAGUUGGAGGGGUAACGGCCCACCAAGGCGAUGAUCAGUAGCCGGUCUGAGAGGAUGAACGGCCACAUUGGGACUGAGACACGGCCCAGACUCCUACGGGAGGCAGCAGUGGGGAAUCUUCCGCAAUGGACGAAAGUCUGACGGAGCAACGCCGCGUGAGUGAUGGCGGCCUUCGGGUUGUAAAGCUCUGUUAAUCGGGACGAAAGGCCUUCUUGCGAAUAGUGAGAAGGAUUGACGGUACCGGAAGAGAAAGCCACGGCUAACUACGUG